UACGAAGGGGGCUAGCGUUGCUCGGAAUUACUGGGCGUAAAGGGCGCGUAGGCGGGUCGUUAAGUUAGAGGUGAAAGCCCAGGGCUCAACCCUGGAAUUGCCUUUAAUACUGUCGACCUUGAGUAUGGCAGAGGUGUGUGGAACUCCGAGUGUAGAGGUGAAAUUCGUAGAUAUUCGGAAGAACACCAGUGGCGAAGGCGACACACUGGGCCAUUACUG
rnacentral:rRNA from 1 species